rnacentral:rRNA from 1 species
UACGGAGGGUGCGAACGUUAAUCGGAAUCACUGGGCGUAAAGCGCGCGUAGGCGGUCUGUUAAGUGGGAUGUGAAAUCCCCGGGCUUAACCUGGGAAUUGCAUUUCAAACUGGCCGACUAGAGUACGGUAGAGGGAGGUAGAAUUUCCUGUGUAGCGGUGAAAUGCGUAGAUAUAGGAAGGAAUACCAGUGGCGAAGGCGGCCUCCUGGAUCGAUACUGACGCUGAGGCGCGAAAGCGUGGGGAGCAAACAGGG